CGAAGUAUAGCAUAUAUAAUGCUUUUUACUUACACUAAAAAAAAGACAUUCGUCUACUCCGCCU
rnacentral:tRNA from 1 species